CUCGCAUCCUCACAUCCCGAUUCAUAGAAACCACCAGCAGCCAAUCUCUCGUUCUCCCACUGCUAACCCUAGCCGCCGCCUGCUGCUUGCCUCGAUGCGCGCUGCGCCCCCCUGAAUGAAGAUCGGCGCUCGAGCGGCGGCCCUAGCCGGUGAAGACCGGCGCCCGAGCGGCAGGCCUGGCAGGUGAAGACGGGCACCUCGAGCGGCGGCCCUGAGCCCCUGACCGUGAAGACUGUCGCCCUGCGCCGCCGCCAACCCCAACCUCCCGUCGGUCGCUCCACCGCCUACGACGCGGCCGUCCGCCGCCGGUGCUCCACCUCCCGACGACCUGCCCACUUUUGGUUCUCAACAUCGCAGCUGAAGAUGUUUUCUGAACAUGAUGACAAACUGAAUGAGAAUCAAGAUGCAUUUAUGAGUGUAGAGGCAAAGGCAGAUGCAGAAGCAGCAGCUGCAGAAGCAGGAGACGAAUCUUCUUACUUUCUUUCAAAUAGAAAUGAUUAUGCAUGCAUGAAUCUUGUUGCUGGACCAUGAAUCAUGAAUGUUCUUACUUUGUGUCAUAUGAAUCUUGUUACUUGCUCUCAAAUGUAAACAUGUACUGGUACUUUGCUACUUGCUGUUGCAUAUAAACAUGUAUUGGUACUUUCUGCUCUCAAAUAUAAACAUGUAUUGGUACUGGAA